GAUGAACGCUAGCUACAGGCUUAACACAUGCAAGUCGAGGGGCAGCAUGACUGAAGCUUGCUUCAGUUGAUGGCGACCGGCGUACGGGUGCGUAACGCGUAUCCAACCUGCCCUCUACUCCGGAACAGCCCGUCGAAAGGCGGAUUAAUGCCGGAUGGUGUCCACUUGGUGCAUGCCAUGGUGGACUAAAGGCAACGGUAGAGGAUGGGGAUGCGACUGAUUAGGUAGACGGCGGGGUAACGGCCCACCGUGCCGACGAUCAGUAGGGGUUCUGAGAGGAAGGUCCCCCACAUUGGAACUGAGACACGGUCCAAACUCCUACGGGAGGCAGCAGUGAGGAAUAUUGGGUCAAUGGACGUAAGUCUGAGCCAGCCAAGUAGCGUGCAGGAUGACGGCCCUAUGGGGUUGUAAACUGCUUUUAUGCGGGGAUAAAGUGUGGGACGUGUCCCAUAUUGCAGGUACUGCAUGAAUAAGGACCGG
rnacentral:rRNA from 1 species